UGCCGAUAUGCNUAWGUMAAAGNUUAAGCCAUGCAUGUCUAAGAACGCCGUUUACGGUUUUUCUGUAUAUAGCUCAUUACAACAGUACUAUUUGCCUCGAUUAAUCCUACCUAGGAUACUUUCGAUAAUCCUGGAGUCAAUACCGUGCCCUACGGGGAAAUAAGGUCACCAGCCUGCUCUGCAGUUUGUGUACCGUAAUAUCUGAAUUUCUUAUGAAACCGAGCGUAAGCUUCGGCAAAUCGUGCAAAGCACUGUCCUUUUAACUUGAGAUGGUAGUGUGGGGGACUACCAUGGUGCAUUACGGGUAACGGGGUAUAAGGGUAUUACACCGGAGAGGAUGCCUUAGAUACGGCAACCACAUCUAAGGGAGGCAGCAGGCGCGCAAAUUACCACGUCUUAAAUCAAGGCGGUAGUGACGAAACGUAUCAAGCUAUUCUCUAUGAGAGUAUGCAUUGAAAUGGUUCAUAACCAAAACCUCUGAGGAGGAUCUAUGAGAGGGCAAGUCUGGUGCCAGCAGCCGCGGUAAUUCCAGUUCUCAAGGCGUAUGGCCGUUGUGUUGUGGUUAAAAAGCUCGUGAUUGUAUCUGUGUAAGUACCUUAGGCUUGUCCUGGGGGAAUCGCCGAAUGGCRAGAGCUACUCUGAGCAAAUCAGAGUGCUCAAAACAAGCUUUNCGCUUGAAUGUUCGUGUAUGGAAUGAUUGAAUAGGACUUUGUGUUCUUAUCAGUUGGUUUUGAAUCAAAGUAAUGGUUGAACGGGACCCGCGGGGGCAUACGUAUCGUUACGCGAGAGGUGAAAUUCGUGGACCGUAACGAGACGACCGAAAGCGAAAGCAUUUGCCAAGAAUGUCUUCAUUAAUCAAGAACGAAAGUCAGAGGUUCGAAGGCGAUUAGAUACCGCCAUAGUUCUGACCUUAAACAAUACCAGCUGGCGAACCGAUGGUGGCGAAAGCUGCCUUUUCGGGGAGCACCCCGGAAACGAAAGCAUAUCGGAUCCGGGGGUAGUAUGGUUGCAAAGCUGAAACUUAAAGGAAUUGACGGAAGAGCACCACCAGGAGUGGAGCCUGCGGCUUAAUUUGACUCAACACGGGAAACCUCACCCGGCCCGGACACCGUAAGGAUUGUCAGACUGAUUGCUCUUAUAUGAUUCGGUGGUUGGUGGUGCAUGGCCGUUCUUAGUUGGUGAAGCGAUUUGUCAGGUUUAUUCCGGUAACGAGCGAGACUCUAGGCUCUAUUUGAACUCAAGAUCCUUGGAUCUUUGAUGUUUCAUAGAGGAAUUGGUGGUAAAGAACGGCAUGCAAUAGAGCAAUAACAGGUCUGUGAUGCCCUUCGAUGUCCGGGGCUGCACGCGUGCUACACUGGGGUCCUCAGCAGUUUCCUAUCUUAAUCAGACACAGGUAAACCGUUGCAAGGACCCCGUGUUCGGGUUAUGAAUUUGCUAUUAUUCUCCUCUAACGAGGAAUUCCUAUUAAGGACGAGUCAUUAUCUUGNUCUGAUUAUGUCCCUGCUCUUUGUACACACCGCCCGUCGCUACCCGGGACUGAACCUKUUCGAGAAAUACAGGGAGCUGUUGCAUUGGACUCGUCUUUUGCGGCAGUGAACUAGCUUGAUCGCGAAGGUUUGAACCGGGUAAAAGUCGUAACAAGGUACCG
rnacentral:rRNA from 1 species